CUCUUCGAAAGUCUUCCAUUCUUCAAACUAGAUUAUUUAAAAAUGAAAAAGGAAGAAAGGAAAGCGAGGUCAUCUCAUUGCUCUAUCCGCCAAUCAGGAGGCUGAAUGUCAGUUUUGAACUAAAAGCCGCUCCGCUCCUCUUCUAGAUUUGGAAAACAAGCGAAAUUAAACUAAACCGCUGCACGCCUCUGACGCGACAUCUGGACACGGCGCGGCGCUGGCGCUGCCGGAGCUGUCGGCCCGGCCUGGCGCCGGACUAGUGUCCCUUUUGAUGAGAAGAAUAAGCCUCAUUGUGAUUCAACAGCAGAGAUCAAAGAAAAGACUUCUGUUUUCUGGCCACCAGAUAUAUGUUAUCUGUGCUUAAAGAAUUGAAAAACACACAUCAAAGGAGAAUUCUCUUGGAAAGAGAGGGUUCAAGCAUCACUGUUAGGUGUGCUGGAAUCCUUUCCCGAGUCAGUACUGCUUUCUAGAAGAAAACCGGGGAGAUCUAUUUGGAAUGUAUCUAACUCCAAAGGAACCAUCAGAGGUAACAGUAGAGACGGGGUUUCACCAUGUUGGCCAGACUGGUCUUGAACUCCCGACCUCGUGAUUCGCCCGCCUUGGCCUCCCAAAGUGCUGGGAUUACAGGUGUGAGACACCAUGCCCGGCGGAUAGAGAGAAUUUUGACAGGUGAUGGAGGCUUUUUAUUUUGCCACAAAACCACUGGUGACGUUGCCUGUGGCCACCUUGGAGAAGACACUGGAGGAUGAUUACGGAGCUAGGAAUUUCCUACAAAGCUGGGUGAUAAAAGGACAUUGGACAAAAACACAGAUAGCUUCAUUCUAUACCAGGAUCCAUCACUGAUUAGCUGUAUUAUAUUUGUCUCUACUGUAAUUUGAGGAGAAUGAUACCUGCUUCUCUAUCUUGUUGGGUUUUACAGAUGAUGUAUUGAAAGUUCAAUAAAAUCUAUAAACAAU
rnacentral:antisense_RNA from 1 species